UACGGGGAGGGCAAGCGUUGUUCGGAAUUACUGGGCGUAAAGGGCGCGUAGGCGGCCCGCUUAGUCGGACGUGAAAUCCCUCGGCUCAACCGAGGAACUGCGUCCGAUACUGGCGGGCUCGAAUCCGGGAGAGGGAUGUGGAAUUCCAGGUGUAGCGGUGAAAUGCGUAGAUAUCAGGAGGAACACCUGCGGUGUAGACGGCUUACUGGACCAUCACUGACGCUGAGGCACGAAAGCGUGGGUAGCAAACAGG
rnacentral:rRNA from 1 species